rnacentral:snoRNA from 1 species
AUCCCAUGAUGAGGACACUUUCUUAAUAGUGAUUUAAAUCACUCCCAAGCCUCGUAUAGGUUUUCACCCUCAAUCUGCUUAAAUUUUGUGAUAUCACACCAAGUU